UUUCUUCGGAAUGAAACCAGAUAUGACUUAGUGGCGGACGGGUGAGUAACACGUGAGCAACCUGCCUUUCAGAGGGGAUAACGUUUGGAAACGAACGCUAAUACCGCAUAACGUAUACGGAUGGCAUCGUCUGUAUACCAAAGGAGGAAUCCGCUGAAAGAUGGGCUCGCGUCCGAUUAGCUAGAUGGUGAGGUAACGGCCCACCAUGGCGACGAUCGGUAGCCGGACUGAGAGGUUGACCGGCCACAUUGGGACUGAGACACGGCCCAGACUCC
rnacentral:rRNA from 1 species